rnacentral:rRNA from 1 species
GAUGAACGCUGGCGGCGUGCCUAAUACAUGCAAGUCGAGCGAAUGGAUUAAGAGCUUGCUCUUAUGAAGUUAGCGGCGGACGGGUGAGUAACACGUGGGUAACCUGCCCAUAAGACCGGGAUAACUCCGGGAAACCGGGGCUAAUACCGGAUAACAUUUUGAACCGCAUGGUUCGAAAUUGAAAGGCGGCUUCGGCUGUCACUUAUGGAUGGACCCGCGUCGCAUUAGCUAGUUGGUGAGGUAACGGCUCACCAAGGCGACGAUGCGUAGCCGACCUGGAAGGGUGAUCGGCCACACUGGGACUGAGACACGGCCCAGACUCCUACGGGAGGCAGCAGUAGAGAAUCUUCCGCAAUGGACGAAAGUCUGACGGAGCAGCGCCGCGUGAGUGAUGAAGGCUUUCGGGUCGUAAAACUCUGUUGUUAGGGAAGAACAAGUGCUAGUUGAAUAAGCUGGCACCUUGACGGUACCUAACCAGAAAGCCACGGCUAACUACGUGCCAGCAGCCGCAGUAA